rnacentral:rRNA from 1 species
GCGGCGGACGGGUGAGUAACGCGUAGGAAUCUACCCAGUAGUGGGGGACAACUUAGGGAAACUUAAGCUAAUACCGCAUACGCCCUAAGGGGGAAAGCGGGGGAUCUUCGGACCUUGCACUAUUGGAUGAGCCUGCGUUGGAUUAGCUAGUUGGUGAGGUAAAGGCUCACCAAGGCGACGAUCCAUAGCUGGUCUGAGAGGAUGAUCAGCCACACUGGAACUGAGACACGGUCCAGACUCC